UACAGAGGGUGCGAGCGUUGUUCGGAAUUACUGGGCGUAAAGGGCGCGUAGGCGGCAUGGCAAGUCAGGAGUGAAAGGCCUGGGCUCAACCGAGGAACUGCUUUGAUACUGCCAAGCUAGAGUGCGGAAGGGGCAACUGGAAUUCCCAGUGUAGCGGUGAAAUGCGUAGAUAUUGGGAAGAACACCUGAGGCGAAGGCGGGUUGCUGGCCGACGACUGACGCUGAGGCGCGAAAGC
rnacentral:rRNA from 1 species